rnacentral:rRNA from 1 species
UACGUAGGGUCCGAGCGUUGUCCGGAGUUACUGGGCGUAAAGCGCGCGCAGGCGGCUCGUCAAGUCUGGCGUGAAAGCCCCCGGCUCAACCGGGGAGGGUCGUCGGAGACUGGCGAGCUUGAGGGCGGUAGGGGCUGGUGGAAUUCCCGGUGUAGUGGUGAAAUGCGUAGAUAUCAGGAGGAACACCUGUGGUGUAGACAGCUUACUGGACCACUUCUGACGCUGAGACACGAAAGCGUGGGUAGCAAACAGG